GACAGAGAGCAUAAGGCUUGAAGAUUCCAGUCCUCUCGCCACCGUAGAAGAUAUCCAAAAACGCCUCCUCCGCCCUGCCUCGCUUCAUUCUCCUCCGGAAGUUUCUAACUCUUUGGCAUUGAAAGUGAAUUCGAAACAGAGCGGAAGAACGGUUAAAAAAAGGCUAGAAGAUUAUUUAGAUCCGGUCAUUCUAGCAGGGAUCUCGUCCAAGAUAAGCCGUUCAAAGAAGGCAAAAUUGGAGACGAAUUUUAAGGGAUUUGAGUGGCCUGUUGAUGAACUUAAGGUGUUCGUGGAAGAGGAUUCGAGGAACUCUAACGGAGGCAGCUGGAGAAACAAAGCCAUUGAUCUUAACGAUGAUUUCGAUGUACUCAGGGAUGGCAGUGAUGGAGAUGAAGAGAUCGGUUCUCCGUUUCAGCGUGUGGGAAAAAAAACGGCGUUGAAGAAAUUCGAGCAUUGAAGAUCUGGAAAUCCAAAAAAAGAUUCAGCUGAGGUUCGUUAGUUCAUUGAAAAUUGGUGAAGAAAUUCGCGCGCUAGAUUUGAUCAAAAGUGGCAAAAUAAAUAGAUCUGUGAGGGUGAAGGGCCAAAGCAUAAAGCUGGACUGGGGCACCUCUGCGGUAC